rnacentral:rRNA from 1 species
AUGCUGCUGGAGAUUUUUGGAUCUGGAAUGAGACUAACACGGAAUAAUGACUGGGUUCUAAGAUUGCUCUUUGUUGACCGAUCUGCUUAUGCAUCCUUUGUCCUGGCAAGCAACAUUGCAGUAAAAGGAGUGAAUAACUGGGGCAGGCCAAAUUGGCUCCGCGUCCUCCCUUGUGCCAGUAAUUAUUUCUGCACCUCCAUCUAUGCCACCAAAGGCAAACAAUUUGCCAUCACCAAGGGGAUGAACAGAUCAGAGAUGAAGGGGCGAACGAAGCAAUUCCUUGUUGGGCAUGCCUCUUAUCCUGUAUUUGAAGCCAACAUCCUUAAGAAAACCACCCAUCGGGAUGGUUCUAUAUACAAGAUAAACUAUGGUUUUCUAAAGCUAUGGCGUCUUACUCAACGUGAUGAGAUAUUGGUGAGUCGUGUGGCUUGA